GUUGUAGCUCAGUGGUAGAGUGCUUGCCUGGCAUGUGUGAGGCCCUGGGUUCAAACACCAGCACAACA
rnacentral:tRNA from 1 species